rnacentral:lncRNA from 1 species
AAGGAAGGUCAGGGAGGCCUCCUUAGGGGUCAUUGAAGUUGGGACCCAAACGAGGAGAAGGAAGAAGCCAUGUGAAGGUCUCGAUGGCGGCAGGACACCAUACGAUGACUCCCGGAUAGUUGAAAGCAGAACACUUGAUCACUUACAGCUCCAAACCAGGGAAGGCUGCCACGCGGGGCCACACAGGCACCGGGGAGUAAGGCACACCGCCAGCCCCACCCAAUCCGAGCAGAGAGGGCCCCAGGAGAUGGAACACGAGAUGAUGAGUUUUGAUGAGACAGCAGGAGAAUUUGGAAGUCCUGAGAUGCUGCACAGAGC